GAAUUUUUUCAUUUCACACGGUCACGCAGAUGGUGGUGGACGGAAGUUUACGUGGACGAGAGCGAGGAAUGCGUGAGUAGAUGAAACUGGACAGGGGGGUAAUGGCGGGUAGACGGGCGUGCAGCUGUGGCCGAAUCUAGGUCCGAUUCUGGGCUGGAAUCACGUGCACACUGCUGUUGACUGCACUUUGAAAUCGGGGCUAUGUGGCUCGCGGGGGGGGGCGAUAAAGCUGUCUCUGAGGCCGUAUCCGAUAGAACGAGGACGAGCGUGCAUUAGUGGAGGAUCUGUUUGUGUAUGCACGAAUCACGAGGAGGAAAGUGAGCGCUUCGAAGCAGCCGUUUUAUCACAUGUGAGAAUCGAUGAGGAGUGAAGAUCGAGUUAUUCUUUCUGCGUCUCAAUUCAUCGGCCUUGAUCCAGAGGAUGUGAAAAAUAUCAGUGGCAAAUGGGACGCAACACGAUUGUAAAGAAGAAUUGUAAACAAGUACAAGGUUCGCCGAAUAAUAAGCCAGACCCUAACAACAUUAAUGGUUCCUUAUUAUUUUUUUAAAUAAAUUCGUAACGAGAUUAAGUUAUUCCCAAAAAUUUUAAAUCUUCUCAAACAAUCGAAAUUUUUCAAAAUUUUCAAAUUUUUUUCCUUUCGACCAAAACAAGAUCCAAUAUUCAUCGAUGAAUGAUAUUAAAAAAAUAAUAACA